CCUACUUAGCGGUUAUUUACCAAAAGAUAACGAAACCUCUGUUUCCAGGACAAGAGAAGGCGUUGAAAUAAUAAAAUAAAAUAGAUUUGUACCAAGCAGUAAAUAUGUAUACAUGAGAGCAAGAUCUACACAGCCCUUCGUGAGAACAAGUAAAUAAUUUUGCAGUCAAACUGACCGUUUCAAGCAAAGGUCGCCUUGUCUGUGUCCGAACCAAACGGAUUGUGCCAUCUUACCCUAAAAUUUCGUGUUAAAUCUAACAGCAACAAGCCAAGCCAAGCCAAGCCAAUGUUCAACAGUAGUAAGGGGUUUAAAUAGGUGAGAAUCAACCAUUUAUAACUGGAGCAACGACUCUGUAAUCGACAGAGAUCUUAGUUGCCGUAGUCCCGCGAAGCGUGCUCGAAAAGGAAGAUUGUCCGUUAGUCAUUUUUUCAACCAUAAUAACGAAGAGGAAGGUACUUGCUUAAGAAGAACCCGUGUCGUUCCUUAAGAUCAAACAUGAAGGACCAAAUUACAGACACCCUGCACAUACUGCAGGCAAAGGAGAUAGCUAAGAAGGUGCCCGACAAUAUGAACACUAUUCGCCGAAUUAUCCAAUACUCAAAAGUCAGUAAAGACACUGGAAAUGAACUUCACUAUUACACAUCUAUUCCUCCUUACGUCUUCGCUGCCGUUUGUUGUGUGGUUGUGCUAUAUCUAAGUCUUCUCUUAAGUGGAGUUGUGGUUUGGUACGUCGUCAGUAAUAAUGAUGAUGAGCGCGUAAGAAAGACCGAGAAAGAGCACCUUUUGUCACCUUCUACUCAAAAAAACAAGAACAAUAAACUCAAAGAGGACCGAGCAAAAACGGAUGCUACAAGAAACGAGAUCAUCCAGGAAAUUCGCCAAAAACUCGAAUUAUAGGAAAACAAAACUGACGGGCACGGAAAGCAUCGACUCGUGAAAGAGAACAGCUUCGCGAGAACUAACCCUUCAGCUAACAGAAUCUUACGACGUCGACAAAUCGA